GUCUAUGGCCAUGCCAUCCUGAACACGCCAGAUCUCGUCUGAUCUCAGAAGCUAAGCAGGGUCAAGCCUGGUUAAUACUUGGAUGGGAGACCACCUAGGAAUAUCAGGUGCUAUAGGUG
rfam:Pteropus alecto contig85604, whole genome shotgun sequence.